GUACAAAACCUGUUGGAGCAGGUCUGUGUGUUGAGAAGUGUUCUGGUGACAGUAGCUGUCCAAACAAUCAGAAAUGCUGCAGCAAUGGAUGUGGACAUCAGUGAAUGGCUCCAUAUUAAGAAAAGCCAGGAGUGUGUCCAAUGACUUUGACUGGAGAAGGACCGUGUGAAGAGCUGUGUGUCAAAGACUUUGACUGUCCGAGAAAAGAGAAGUGCUGCAGCUCUAUAUGUGGAGGACAUAUGUGUACACCUGCGUCUUAAGACAGAAGUGUGUCCCAACCACCUGUGGACAUGCAUGCAGAGAACAUGCCAGUUUAACCAUUGGAAAAAGCCCUUGAUUG